rnacentral:tRNA from 1 species
GUCGUCGUGGCCGAGUGGUUAAGGCGACAGACUAGAAAUCUGUUGGGCUCUGCGAAUCCUGUCGGUGACG